GGCCGCCUGGCGAAAUGGCAUCGCGUCUGACUACGAUCCCUUAUUGGCGUAUUUAAAUCAUCAGGAGAUUGCAGGUUCGACCCCUGCGGUGGUCA